rnacentral:rRNA from 1 species
CCUGAGAAACCCAAAAGAUCGAAUGGGGAGAUUCAUCGUCAAUGCAUUUUUAUACGUAUGAGUUAUGAUACGGGUUACUCUUGAGUAUUGGCUGGACGUACUUGUAUAUUUGAAGGUGUAGUCSGCGUGSACUUCUCCCCUARUAAAACAUCGCGACCCGGUAARUGGUGGUUUGUGGCCCAAGUGGGAAGCCUUUAUUGUCUUUGACUUURAAGACCCUUGRUGAYCUAAUCGACGCUUGGCGGUACUCGUACGGUAUUUAGCCGCACUUGUGCGUUCWUAUCUGUUACAAGCGWGGUARGUUUCUGGUAMCCGGACUUUGUGCCGUCGCUGGAGCUUGCCUGUUGUUGGUGACAGGAUCUAAAACUGGMUAUCAUAUACCGGUCGGCGAUGCUACUGCUU